UACGUAGGGUCCGAGCGUUGUCCGGAAUUACUGGGCGUAAAGAGCUCGUAGGUGGUUUGUCGCGUUGUUCGUGAAAACUCACAGCUUAACUGUGGGCGUGCGGGCGAUACGGGGCAGACUGGAGUACUGCAGGGGAGACUGGAAUUCCUGGUGUAGCGGUGGAAUGCGCAGAUAUCAGGAGGAACACCGGUGGCGAAGGCGGGUCUCUGGGCAGUAACUGACGCUGGAGGAGCGAAAGCGUGGGAGCGAACAGG
rnacentral:rRNA from 1 species